ensembl:lncRNA
AAAGGGGUCCGACCGGCAACUGGCGCCAAAUCACGAGUUCCGGCUUUAUUCACUAACGCUACAUAAUUAUGCCCACAUCUUACGCGAGUUUAAAUGUGUUUCUGACGACGCGGCACAUUUGAAACGCCACUUCGCUGCGCUUUAAAAACACGGUAAACUAUUGUUUGGAAAACGGCUAACGAGAAACCGGAAGUGGUGACGAAACAGGAAGUGACGUUUCGAAAGCGAUACCACAGGAGUUAGCGAGUGCUGCGGGCGUUCCUGAAGGACAGACCGCAUACAGCUCCGUGGUUUAAAAAUUAAAAAAAAAAAAAAAAAAAAAAAAAUAUUUGUGAGGAAGCGCCAUGAUUAAGCCCCACAAAUUGUCGGCUGCGAAGCGCUUCACCAAGCCUGUUCUGUUCGGAACCGUCCUGCUGGCUCUGGCCGCUACUUUCGUCAACAGACACAUGUUCUUGGCGGACGUGACGGAGAUGCGAGCUCAGGAACAUGCUCGCAACCAGGAGAAGCUGAGGGAGGUCUUGGAGCGGAGGCAGAGGCAAGUGGCCAAGCUGGAGCAGAAGAAGGUCGAGGCGGGCAGGUGAGGCCCUGUAGGAAGGCCCCCUGGGGCCGGAUAGACAGUGGACUACAAUGCGGAUGCACCAAGUCCUCGAGGUGGUCUGGAAGGCCUUCAGAAACCAUGAUGGAUUGACAGAGGGAUGCCACACGGCUGCGAGAAGUAGAUGGACUUCAAAGCCUUUUGCAGCCUGUAGUCGUCUUCAGCACUCUGCGUGGAGUGGGGUUAUGCUGAACCACCGUGCUACGACCUGAUGAGCUUUGCAGUUGUCAAUAAUUAGUGCCUAUGUGUGAAAAUGAAAGGUAAUUUCUGAAAAAUGAGUUUGUGGUUUAUGCAAAAUACAAUAGUAUAACUCAUCCAUCAGUAAGCAUUACCUUGCAGGUUCACUUCAGAGGGGUAUGUAUUAAUGUAGUGUGGAGACAGUCAAAUCAAUCUUUACAAAUAGGUGUUCUGUCAAUAUGUGUCACUCAGUUCCUACUCAAUAUAACCAGCCAUAAUUCCUCUGGUUUAGUUACACCAAUUACCUUUAACAGAUGCUUUUCUCCAAAACCACUUCCAGUGGACUCGAUGUAAUAGUGUUAUCAGCCCACACACUUAUUCACUAAGGUGACUUGCUAGAUACACUACUUCAAGGGUCACUCAUUCAUGCCUAAGUGAUUGAGCUUCAUCAAGUUAUUAGUUGAACCUUUAACAAGUUACAGCUUCCCCUCCCCCCCCCCAACCCUAUAUACCACUUUUCCCCCUUUAUCCUCCAUAUGGGAGUUUAGGGUAAAUACUAUUCCUGAUCUGAGGGUUUUGUCCAUUGCAACUUGGUGUAUUUCUGAAAAAGUUGCUUGCAAUAAUUUACCAGUUUAUACAGCUGGGUAAUUUUUACUGCCUCUAUUAAGGAACCUUCAGAUUUCUAGGCAGAGAUGAACAUUGAACAUGCAGUUUUGCUGACAGUAUUAACCAGGUCCAGUAGAGGGCAAUAGUGUAGUGUCAGUGCAGGAAUGACGUAUUCAGGACAGUUUAAUCAAAAUAUGAAAGCUUUUUUAAAUUUGCGCCCAAUUGAAGUAACUAAUGUUAGACAAUUUAAGCAUGAUAAACGAAACAGCUUUGCUAGGCAACAGGGGCUCCUACAAUAUUUUCAUUCAUCCCAGAGGAUUUCAAGGCAGAGCAUUUCUCUACUCUUCCCAUUUUAAAAAUCCACAUGACAUGAAGUGACAAAGGACAUUAAUAAAAAGCAAAACUCAUUUCA